rnacentral:ncRNA from 1 species
UUAUUUGAGAGUUUGAUCCUGGCUCAGGACGAAUGUUGGCGGCGUGUAUAAGGCAUGCAAGUCGAGGGAUCGAUCGUAGCAAUACGAUACGGACCGGCAGACGGGAGAGUAACACAUUGGUAACCUACCUCUAAGACGGGGAUAGCCUUCCGAAAGGAAGAUUAAUACCCGAUAGUAACGCGGGGACACAAGUCAUUCGCGUUUAAAGAUUUUUCGCUUAGAGCAGGGCCUAUGGUCUAUCAGCUAGUUGGUGAGGUAAUGGCUCACCAAGGCGACGACGGAUAGGGGACGUGAGAGCGUGAUCCCCCUCACUGGGACUGAGAACUGCCCAGACACCUACGGGUGGCUGCAGUCAGGAAUCUUCCGCAAUGGACGAAAGUCUGACGGAGCGACGCCGCGUGCAGGAUGAAGCCCUUUGGGGUGUAAACUGCUUUUAUAGGGGACGAAUUUGUGACGGUACCCUAUGAAUAAGAGGUUGCUAACUCUGUGCCAGCAGCAGCGGUAAUACAGAGACCUCAAACAUUGUCCGGAUUCAUUGGGCGUAAAGCGUCCGCAGGUUGCCAUAUAAGUUAGGGGUUAAAUCUUCCGACCUAAUCGGAAAACCGCUUCUAAUACUGUAUGGCUCGAGGUUGGGAGAGGCAUAUGGAACUGCCGGUGUAGUAGUAAAAUGCGUUGAUAUCGGCAGGAACACCAAAGGCGAAGGCAAUAUGCUGGAACAACUCUGACACUCAGGGACGAAAGCGUGGGGAGCGAAAGGGAUUAGAUACCCCUGUAGUCCACGCCCUAAACUAUGUGUGCUAGGUAUUGGGAGUAUCGACCCUCUCAGUGCCGUUUAAAAAAGCUAACGCGUUAAGCACACCGCCUGGGGAGUACGGCCGCAAGGCUAAAACUCAAAGGAAUAGACGGGGACCCGCACAAGUGGAGGAUCAUGCGGUUUAAUUCGAUGGUACGCGACGAACCUUACCGGGGCUCA